UUUUUUCCCCUCUCUGGGAGAAUUUGAAACGGAUUUGAAACGGAUGUAGCAAAAGUAACGAACAUUGAAAUGCUAAAAUAACCUAUAAUUUGAAACGGAUGGAGUAGAAUUUGCGUGUCAGUUCACCAUCCCAGGAGAGGCUCUGCAUCCCCCGAGAAGUGGAUCUCGAGCUCCAUGGCGCGGCGGCGGAUGGAGCAACAGCCUCAUGGCUCGGAGGUGACCCACCGGAGCUCGACGACCGGCCAUGGUGCGUCGCCGGCGGAGGAUGGUAGCUCGCAGAUCUCCUCCUCCUCCUUCCUCUCUCUGAUAGGUUUGGGGUGUCCAGGGAUGGAUGUCGGCGCUCGUCGACGGCAGCCUCUAUGGCCGAGCGAUGUCGCCGGGCGGAGGAGAAACUGCCGAUAGUGGAGAAGGUUGCAUUCCCCUACAUUAAGGGCAGAGGAGCUGAGUUUUUGUGAUUGCUAAAAAAAAAACCACGAUACAUCGCUGAUCAGUGAGAACACACACGAGAUAAGUUAACCGUCGUGGAAUUUCCUGUUAC
rnacentral:lncRNA from 1 species